rnacentral:rRNA from 1 species
CUGCAGUCGAACGGUAGCAGGAAGUGCUUGCACUUUGCUGACGAGUGGCGGACGGGUGAGUAAUGCUUGGGAACUUGCCUUUGCGAGGGGGAUAACAGUUGGAAACGACUGCUAAUACCGCAUAAUGUCUACGGACCAAACGGGGCUUAGGCUUCGGCGCAGAGAGAGGCCCAAGUGAGAUUAGCUAGUUGGUGGGGUAAAGGCUCACCAAGGCGACGAUCUCUAGCUGUUCUGAGAGGAAGAUCAGCCACACUGGGACUGAGACACGGCCCAGACUCCUACGGGAGGCAGCAGUGGGGAAUAUUGCACAAUGGGGGGAACCCUGAUGCAGCCAUGCCGCGUGUGUGAAGAAGGCCUUCGGGUUGUAAAGCACUUUCAGUUGUGAGGAAAAGUGAGUAGUUAAUACCUGCUCACCGUGACGUUAACAACAGAAGAAGCACCGGCUAACUCCGUGCCAGCAGCCGCGGUAAUACGGAGGGUGCGAGCGUUAAUCGGAAUUACUGGGCGUAAAGCGCACGCAGGCGGUUUGUUAAGCUAGAUGUGAAAGCCCCGAGCUCAACUUGGGAUGGUCAUUUAGAACUGGCAGACUAGAGUCUUGGAGAGGGGAGUGGAAUUCCAGGUGUAGCGGUGAAAUGCGUAGAUAUCUGGAGGAACAUCAGUGGCGAAGGCGACUCCCUGGC